rnacentral:misc_RNA from 1 species
CCCAACCGAACAAGCAUCAAACACCAACGCUGAAUCGACGAGCGACCAGUCGCUGAAGCUCGCAGUUGCAAUCUCUCUUCUCCGAUCAAAGCGCCUCCAAAGGCAGGCUCCGUUGCCUGAUCCUCCUCUAGAAUCCGACGCCCUCCGUUGGAAGAGAAAGGCUAAGGAGCGGAAACAAGAACUUAUUCGACUCAGAGAAAAUCUCAAGGAAGCUGAAGAUGCUUCGCACUGCGAUUUGUUCCCGCAAAGUGCUUCUUGCAAGUGUUAUUUCUUUGACAAUUUGGGGAAACUAAGCCCUAAGCGAGACGGAGAUGGCUUUGAUCGCAGAUUCAACGACGUUCUUCGCCGGCGAUUCCUCAGACAAGUGCGGUUAAAGGAAAGGAGGAGAAGAGAUGCUCCAAAACAACGAUUACGGCUUUCAGAUUUAAGUAUUGAUGCUGAAGUGGAGCAGCUUAGGGCCUCCAUUGAUUUUCUUGUGGAGUUAUGUGACUCUGCUUCUCCUGGGCAAACGGCUAAUUUUGCUAACUGGUCACAUCAAGCUGUAGACUUCAUUUUAGCAUCAUUAAGGAACCUGUUAUCAGCAGGAAAGAACCUUGACUUCACUGAAGACAUUGUCAACAGUUUAAUUAUGCGAUUGGGUAGAAGGAUGUGUUCUCCUUCACAAGGUGAUGAGUCACAGUUUGACACUGAUGCCCAGUUCUAUAUUCAACACCUGAUCCGCAAGCUUGGAAGUGAAUCCUACAUUGGGCAGCGUGCAAUACUUUCAGUUUCUCAAAAAAUUUCCGUUGUAGCAGAGAAUAUGCUCUUCAUGGAUCCAUUUGAUAAUGCUUUUCCAAACAUACAUAGAUGUUUGUAUAUUAUGAUCCAGCUUAUUGAGUUUUUGGUGUCAGAUUACUUGUUAUCUUGGUCAAAGGAUGAAGGCUUUGAUAAUGGUACGCAUCUUAACUACAUCAUGUCCAUGUUGAUUAGGUUCUUACUCCUAAUUUACGCAUUCUUCUUAUGGUAAUUGGCUUCUCAUGUUGUUGUUUUACUCAAUUUUUGAUAAUUAACAUAUUCUUACAACCAAUAUUUCUUUCAUUUUCCUCUACCUAGAAUUAAGAUUAAUGCCUUCUCAGCAUUUUGUAUCCUCAGAAAGUUGUUUCGAAUAACUUAUAACAUGCAUGCUUCAUAAGAACCUGAAAAAUGAUAUGCAAUAAUGUAAUUGUAGUGCUGUUUGAAGAGUGGGUGACAUCACUUCUUCACGCCCGAAAAGCAUUAGAACUUCUGGAAAGCAGAAAUGGCCUUUAUGUCAUAUACAUGGAUCGAGUUUUAGGCCAACUGGCUAAACAAGUGGGCCAGGUUUCGUUAUUGCCGAAGCUCAACCGAGAGAUUUUGGAUAACCUAUUCUGCUGACCACAGUGUAUGAAAGCUACACGCUUUUGUUAUUUCCUGUCUACCCACAACUGUUACUAAAGGCAAGUUUAUAGAGAAGCUAAUUGUUGCGCAGACUGGCUUUCUAAGCAUGCUUUAAGUCUGGGUUUGGGAAUGUAGAGCUUCUUAGUAGUGAUAUGAAGGGAGUCUCUCUUCCUCGUUGGUGUCUUGUGUAGUUUGGCUGCUAAACCCUAACGAAGAGCUCUAGUUGCAUCUUAGAACUUACAGGGUGAAUGAAUUAUAAUAUUUUUAGAACACUUGAAAAGACUCUUGUUUUCAAAGAUUCCAAACUAAGACGUGAAUCUUGAAAUUUGAAAUUUCAAAGCAUUGAAUGUGAUUGAUUGAAAG